UGGCCAAGGACUGGAGCAGAGAGGGACUCGACGAGGGAGAUGCUGGGCAUGGAGAGGAGGAGGAGCCGUGCGCACCAGAGGCUAUGGCGAGCGAGCAGAAGGGCGAGCUCCAGUGUACGAUUGAGCAGGGGGUUGAAGGGCUGGACAAACUCGACGGUGUCCACGGCCAGAGCGAGUUGGAGAAGCCGAGCAAGGGCGAGCUCCAUGGCGGGGUCGGCGGAGGCCAGCAGUGGACGGCGCCCUGCGCGCGGCGUGAAGAGAGCAUGCGCUACCGCGCAGAGGAUGAAAUGUUGGGCGAGCUCGGCCAGGAGAGAGGCAGAGAGCAGCGUGGGGCGAGCA
rnacentral:misc_RNA from 1 species